UCGGAGGUAUGGCCGAGAUCAGAGACUUAUCAUAGUCGACUAGACUCUGCUGGGCUAAUUUGCCGUGGAGAGCUGAGGGUCCGUAGAUGACAGGAGCCAUGCGCAUUAAUUGUGGAGUAAGCCGGAGAUCCGCAUUUAUUGUGGAGUAAGCCGGAGAUCCGCAUUAAUUGUGGAGUAAGCCGGAGAUCCGCAUUAAUUGUGGAGUAAGCCGGAGAUCCGCAUUAAUUGUUGAGUGAGCCGGAGGGUUAUAGCGGCCAUGCGCAAUAAAUGUCAGAGGGGCGUCAGGAUAUGGUCCUCGGCCGGACCUCAGAGGUGCACGGCCG
rnacentral:lncRNA from 1 species